UCCUACGGGAGGCAGCAGUGGGGAAUAUUGCACAAUGGGCGCAAGCCUGAUGCAGCCAUGCCGCGUGUAUGAAAAAGGCCUUCGGGUUGUAAAGUACUUUCAGCGAGGAGGAAAGGUUAACGGUUAAUACCCGUUAGCUGUGACGUUACUCGCAGAAGAAGCACCGGCUAACUCCGUGCCAGCAGCCGCGGUAAUACGGAGGGUGCGAGCGUUAAUCGGAAUUACUGGGCGUAAAGCGCAUGCAGGCGGUCUGUUAAGCGAGAUGUGAAAGCCCCGGGCUUAACCUGGGAACUGCAUUUCGAACUGGCAGACUAGAGUCUUGUAGAGGGAGGUAGAAUUUCAGGUGUAGCGGUGAAAUGCGUAGAGAUCUGAAGGAAUACCAGUGGCGAAGGCGGCCUCCUGGACAAAGACUGACGCUCAGAUGCGAAAGCGUGGGGAGCAAACAGGAUUAGAUACUCUGGUAGUCCACGCUGUAAACGAUGUCUAUUAGGAGUCUGUGCCCUUGAGGCGUGGGUUCCAAAGCUAACGCAUUAAAUAGACCGCCUGGGGAGUACGGCCGCAAGGUUAAAACUCAAAUGAAUUGACGGGGGCCCGCACAAGCGGUGGAGCAUGUGGUUUAAUUCGACGCAACGCGAAGAACCUUACCUGGGUUUGACAUCCCGGGAAUUCUGCGGAAACACAGAAGUGCCCUUCGGGGAGCCCGGUGACAGGUGCUGCAUGGCUGUCGUCAGCUCGUGUCGUGAGAUGUUGGGUUAAGUCCCGCAACGAGCGCAACCCCUAUCUUUAGUUACAGCAUUCAGUGGGGACUCUAAGAACUGCCCCCGUUAACCGCGGAAGAAGAGUGGGGAAUAAGUCGAUCCCAGGCUUUGUCAGGGCACUCUGUCUAAUGCCAUCUGAUG
rnacentral:rRNA from 1 species